AACGAACGCUGGCGGCAUGCCUAACACAUGCCAGUCGAACGAGACCUUCGGGUCUAGUGGCGCACGGGUGCGUAACGCGUGGGAACCUGCCCUUAGGUUCGGAAUAACUCCCCGAAAGGGGUGCUAAUACCGGAUAAUGUCUUCGGACCAAAGAUUUAUCGCCUUUGGAUGGGCCCGCGUUGGAUUAGCUAGUUGGUAGGGUAAAAGCCUACCAAGGCGAGGAUCCAUAGCUGGUCUGAGAGGAUGAUCAGCCACACUGGGACUGAGACACGGCCCAGACUCCUACGGGAGGCAGCAGUGGGGAAUAGUGGACAAUGGGCGAAAGCCUGAUCCAGCAAUGCCGCGUGAGUGAUGAAGGCCUUAGGGUUGUAAAGCUCUUUUACCCGGGAUGAUAAUGACAGUACCGGGAGAAUAAGCGCCGGCUAACUCCGUG
rnacentral:rRNA from 1 species